rnacentral:rRNA from 1 species
CGGGAUGGACGCACCGCUGGUGUACCAGUUGUUCCGCCAGGAGCAUAGCUGGGUAGCUAUGUGCGGAAGGGAUAAGCGCUGAAAGCAUCUAAGCGUGAAGCCCCCCUCAAGAUGAGAUUUCCCAAUUUAGUAAGACCCCUUGAAGACGACGAGGUAGAUAGGUUGGAGGUGGAAGCACAGCAAUGUGUGGAGCUGACCAAUACUAAUCGGUCGAGGGCUUAUCCUAAA